AUUGAACGCUGGCGGCAUGCCUUACACAUGCAAGUCGAACGGUAACAGGUCUUCGGAUGCUGACGAGUGGCGAACGGGUGAGUGAUACAUCGGAACGUGCCCGAUCGUGGGGGAUAACGAAGCGAAAGCUUUGCUAAUACCGCAUAAGAUCCAAGGAUGAAAGCAGGGGACCGCAAGGCCUUGCGCGAACGGAGCGGCCGAUGGCAGAUUAGGUAGUUGGUGGGAUAAAAGCUUACCAAGCCGACGAUCUGUAGCUGGUCUGAGAGGACGACCGGCCACACUGGGACUGGGACACGGCCCAGACGCCUACGGGAGGCAGCAGUGGGGAAUUUUGGACAAUGGGCGAAAGCCUGAUCCAGCCAUGCCGCGUGCAGGAUGAAGGCCUUCGGGUUGUAAACUGCUUUUGUACGGAACGAAAAGACUCUGGUUAAUACCUGGGGUCCAUGACGGUACCGUAAGAAUAAGCACCGGCUAACUACGUGCCAGCAGCCGCCGUAAUAC
rnacentral:rRNA from 1 species